GUUGAAAUGGCUGAGUAAUAAGCAGUAGCCUGUAAAGCUACCCACGAGACCCCUCUCUUUCAAUA
rnacentral:tRNA from 1 species